CCUUCCCAGUGCCUGAGGCUGAAUGUGAGUUGAGAAAUCUAAGGGCGGGUGGUGGGGCCCCGCCUCAGAGAGCCCCAAACGUGACACCAUGAAGAUGCCAGUCCUUCCUGCUGUGGCCCUGCUCUCCCUCCUGGCGCUCCACUCUGCUCAGGGGGCCACCCUGGGGAGUUCUGAGG